GUUUGACAAGUAACAUACUGUUUAAAAGAAUAUAUUAAAACAAUAUUUGGACAAUAUCUGCAUAGCAACCAGAGUGUGUGAACAGCUACUCAAAGAGGACGAGAUGCCCUCUGGUGAUGUCAUCACACCGAAGGGUCACGGCCGUCUCUGAACCCGAGCUCUAAAAUAAAAUACUAAUACUAAUAAAAUCUGUUCUGGAGCCUCAACAUGGGCUUCCUGCUGGUUGGACCAACAUGUCUGAUGUCUAUUUCUACUUCUUUUUUUCUAUUUCUAGAAGCCGUGCUCGGCACAGAGUCGGGACAUGUGUGGUGUUGUAGCCUCCGGCUAACGGAAAGCAGAGCAGUUCCGUUCGCCGGUGAAUGAGUCUCUGCCUUUCAGAUGAGUAACUCACUGACAGACACACUUUAUUAAACUAAUGUCUAUAUGACCCACGUAAGUAAUCAAGACCCUUGAUGUUGGCCUUUUCUCAAUAACUGGUUCUGGUUCCCCAUAGAACCUUUUAAACCAGGGUUCUUUAAAGAACCAUUUCCUCAAAUAGUUCUUCAAAGAACCUAUAAAGGUGCCUCAGACCAAAAAAUGGUUCUUCAUGCUUCUUCGUAGAACCACAAAGCCUUUUUAAAGAACCAUUUAAGUACCAUGGAACCGAACAUGGUUCUUCAGUGAUGCUAUAGAAGAACCAUAUCUGGCUCCACAAAGAACCUUUCAAACCAGGGUUCUUUAAGAACCAUUUCCUUAAAGAGUUCUUCAAAGAACCUAUAAAGGUCCCUCAAACAAAAAAAUGGUUCUUCAGUAGGUGAUGGUUCUUCGUAGAACCACAAAACCUUUAAAGAACCAUUUAAGAACCAUUAUUUUUCUGUGUGUGGAUAACCACGCUGCUGGAGAUCCAGGACCAGGGCAGAACAAUUCUGCACUCUGAUGCUCGGAUGCAGUACUGCCGGUUGUCCACAGGGGCCGCCAAAGUCGACACCAACAGAAAGGUGAUCGGACUAGCUUUAAAAAAAAGAAGUGACACCCUUAGUGGACCGAGAGCGGCAAUAUAACAGGGACGUUAAAAAUUACUCGUGAUUAUAACAUUUAAAUGUCUAUUUGUUUAUCGAAUUAGUUGCGGAGACAAAGCGCGGAGCAGCAGGAGGAACAUGUGGCAGAGGAGGGAGGCCAGGAAGGAGAAAGGAGAGGGUGAUAGAUGUGCUUCUGUUCACUGAGACCAGGAACCGGAUGGAACCGGAUGGAACCGGAUAGCAUCAGGAGGAGUCAGCGUUUAUUUGUUUUUCUUUACUGAAGAUUUGAUGAUAAAAGUUGCUUUAACAAAUGCAUUAAAAGAUAAAACGUG